AGUCCAUGAUGUGGGCAUGUCCUAAGAAACUUCUAAAGCUUUCUCAUGCUUUAUAUAAUGAUUCAUUAUCCAUAUGCAUAAAAUUAGUAAUAUUGUUAUGCAUUU